rnacentral:tRNA from 1 species
GUCCAGGGUAGCCUAGUGGUCAUGGCAUCUGCUCGGUAAGCGGAUGGUCGUGGGUUCGAUUCCCAUCCCUUGACA